UAGUGAGGGAUGGGUGAGAACAGAAGGACAGAGAGAAGUUGUACUCCUGCAAGAAGGAGAGGAGACGAGUGGACUCACGAGGGAAGAACUUCAGUGCCAUUGGUGAACCUGAGGGACCAGAGGAACCAGAAAGACCAGCAUCACUCUUCCAUAAGAACCUUCUCCUAGAAGCUUCAGGACCUGAAAAUGCUCCGAUGUGUCCAUCAGAGGCAGGGACUGCGCGGAUAGGAGACAUAGCUCGUCCAAAAGCUUUGUAGCUGCCUGGACAUGGAACGUUUGCACACACACACACACACACACA